rnacentral:rRNA from 1 species
AAGCAACGCGAAGAACCUUACCAGGUCUUGACAUCCCCUGACAACCCGAGAGAUCGGGCGUUCCCCUCGGGGGACAGGGUGACAGGUGGUGCAUGGUUGUCGUCAGCUCGUGUCGUGAGAUGUUGGGUUAAGUCCCGCAACGAGCGCAACCCUCGACCUUAGUUGCCAGCAUUCAGUUGGGCACUCUAAGGUGACUGCCGGCUAAAAGUCGGAGGAAGUGGGGAUGACGUCAAAUCAUCAUGCCCCUUAUGACCUGGGCUACACACGUGCUACAAUGGGCGGUACAAAGGGUCGCGAACCCGCGAGGGGGAGCCAAUCCCAAAAAGCCGCUCUCAGUUCGGAUUGCAGGCUGCAACUCGCCUGCAUGAAGCCGGAAUCGCUAGUAAUCGCGGAUCAGCAUGCCGCGGUGAAUACGUUCCCGGGCCUU